GACAGAGGGUGCAAACGUUGUUCGGAAUUACUGGGCGUAAAGCGCAUGUAGGCGGCUCGGAAAGUCGGAUGUGAAAGCCCAGGGCUCAACUCUGGAAGUGCACUCGAAACUCCCGAGCUGGAGUCCCGGAGAGGAAGGCGGAAUUCUCGGUGUAGAGGUGAAAUUCGUAGAUAUCGAGAGGAACACCUGUGGCGAAGGCGGCCUUCUGGACGGUGACUGACGCUGAGAUGCGAAAGCGUGGGGAGCAAACAGG
rnacentral:rRNA from 1 species